rnacentral:lncRNA from 1 species
AGAAAUAUAUACGAACACUUUUUUUUUGUAAGUACGUAUAGGUUAAAAAGGCUAAAGCCCCCCUUAAAAAUAAAAAAAAUAGACAAAACCUUGGGUCACUUGACAACAAUUAAUUAGGUAUUUAUUAAGGUUAAAUAACAUUAUUUUUUUUCUUUAAUAUUAAUUAUCCACUUAAUUACUUAGUGAACAAUAAUUAAUUAUUUGUGCUAAUUAGUACAUAUGCGCAUACUCUUUAAUUUUUAGAGUAUAUAUUGAAGUUUUCAAUAUACAUGCAUCAUUUGAUACUAUAUUUAAAUCCGUGAAGGC